CAAAUACUAUUGUCUCAAUUUUGUAAAAAAAUGAAGCUCUUAGAGAUGUUAAGUGAUUGGCCAAAUCACUGUCAGGUAAAUGAGGGUGUUGGGUUUUGAUCUCUGGCCUGUCACUAGACAUCAUGACAGUAUCAGCAGACUGUCUCUCGAAGGCAUAGGACUGUCUCCUCUCUGUUGAUUUUGCCCUGCACGGGACGGCCUCCUACUUACGCUGUAAACAACUGCAUUUUAGUCUUUAGCCUUGUUAGAUCUCAUUGUCAGAAAAAUAAAUAAAGGCAAGAGGAGCCUGGGCUGGCGGUCGGGAUCUCUUCCCUCCCUCCGCGCCCGCCCUCCCUCUGUCCUUAAGGAAAUGCUACCAGACACCCCCCACCAGACACGCUCAGCCUUGGCGAGGAGCGGCCG
rnacentral:sRNA from 1 species